rnacentral:lncRNA from 1 species
AAGAAGAUGGAACAAACCUGCAAAGGAAAUGGAGGCAUCGACGGCGAGAACACGUGUGAGGCCACCAACGUAACGGAGAUUGUCGUCGGUCUUGUGUUGGUCCAUGGCUUUGAGACUGUUUGGUUUACUUUGAAGGCAUAGAGAGGGAAGAAGGGAGAGAAUAGAGGAGAGAUGGUGGUUUGAAGCAGGAGAGGGGCUUGAGGCUUCAAACCUGAGGGAGGCUUGGGCUUCAAACGAGAUCCAAAACUAAUUUAAUGCUAAAAAGGAUAAUAAAGAUAUUUCAUCUUAUUAAUUAAAUUAAAAAAUAUACAAUUGUUGAAUUUUGGGUGUGUUUCUAUGUUUAAAAUAGUGUAGGGUAUAUCUAUAGUUUCAUGUCUAGGAAUGAGUGUUUCACUAAUUUUGUGUAUACUUUAGUUAUAAACAAGGCAUGGAAAUACAACAUAUUUUUUUAUUCAUAGAUAAUGUACAAAAUAGGCUUUAUGUGAUGAUAACGCUGCACGAUUUUAUGAUAUCCUUACUCCACAAAAUUUUGUUAGCUUCUCUACAUUUUCAAAUAUCAAUUAAAGCCAAUGAGGUGUUGCCCAGUUUAAAAGGAUAUUGACUUGCAAACUAGUGGUAUCAAGUUUGAACCCUUAUGGGAAAGCCUCAUUCCCUUGUAGUUAUUAUAAUUUAACCUUAGAAAAAAAUCAAGUAAGUUUUUUGUUCAAAAGAAAAAAAUCAAUUAAAACCUUAGAAGCACUUUAAAAAUGAACUUAUUAUAAUUUAACCUUAUUGCCCAAAGCAAAUUAUGUCUUAACGCAAUAGUUUCAGCUUGUAAUACAAGACCCAUAACCAAUAGGAAAACCCUUAUGACAAACAAACAAUGCUAACAUUUCCUCUAGAAUCCCUUAUGACAAAACUGGCAGCUGUUUGUCUAUUAUUCUUAACAAAACAUUUUUUUUUUCUCCUUAUUAUAAUUGAGGACACAUAUCAUUGAUAUUAUUAAAAUACCAAAAUUGCCCACAAGAUCUAUUAAUAUUUUAAACAAAAUUUAAGUUGCUACACAAAAAAAAGUUUCCUUUUGUUAUAAAAAUAACCUGGAAUAUGUAUGAAUAUUGAGCUGCACGUAAAGUAGAUGAGACACAACAUUUAACGAGGUUCGGCUAUGCCUACGUCUUCGGAGAGCAGCAGCAGUAACUUUUUCACUAUAUAAAAUAAUAGGACUACAACUUUAGAGUUUACAAUAUGUGAGGCUCACUGAAUUUUCUCUAUCUUUCUUCUUCUCUCUUUUCUUUCUUCUUUUUCUCUUCUUUUCUUUCUUCUUUUCUCUUCUUCUUCUCUCUUCUUUUUCUCUUCUCCCCUUUCUUUCUUUUCUUCGUUGGUCACACUCCCCUUUACAAUUGGUAUGCCUAUUUAUAGGCUAAUAUUUAGGCAAAAUACAGGGAAGGGAAGGUUCCUGGAAGAUGCAAGGAAACUUCCUGAAUUGAUAAACCUGGAAGAUGCAAGGAAACUUCCUGAAUUGAUAAAUACAGGGAAGGAAAGUUCCUGGAAGAUGCAAAGAAACUUC